rfam:Oryza sativa (indica cultivar-group) chromosome 12, whole genome shotgun sequence.
AAAAAGUCAAACCAUGGGUUUCGUAUCAACUUUAACUGUCCGUCUUAUAUGAAUUUUUUUUUAUAAUUCUAUUUUUAUUGUUGUUAGAUGAUAAAACAUGAUUAAUAUUUUAUGCGUGAUUGUCUUUUUAAUUUUUUUUCAUAAUUUUUUAAAUAAGACGGACGGUUAAAUAUUGAACACGGAAACUAGGG